rnacentral:lncRNA from 1 species
AGGGACAAUGUUUGUCAUCUCACCGGUACUAAUAUCAAUGCUGCUCAAUUUGACAAGUGAUAUGCUAAUCCAAUGCUAUUUCCAAUCAGUGGGAACUUUUUAGUAGAUGGUUCAUCAAAUGGGCUUAAAUUGUUAAAUUAGUUUGUUAAACAGUGUACUGGGCGAUGAGCAUGCAAAUAUGGUGUUAUACUUCAGAAGUGUCAGAUUGAAUGGUCAAGGCAAUUUGUGUUAGCAUAUGAUUUCUGCAUUACUACAAGGACUUGGGUACCUGCUACGAUCCUGUGGCUGUAGUAAGAGAUGAUGGCCCCCCUUCCAGAUAUAUCACUGUAUUUUCUCUGUUUCUUUCAAAUUUUUUGUGGAAGUUAGGUUCUGAACUGAUUGGUUUUCUCUAGUUGCUGAUCUUGCCAAUUGAGAACUAAAGUAUAUGUGGAAAGGUUGAUCUUCAAGUGUUGCUCUUUUUUGUUUUUUUCUUCUUUUAAUUGAUAAGGUAAAGGUUUAUUAGAAAACAGUCCCAAGAUGGUACCGCAACAAACUUUCUGGUAUCAUUGACCAAGAUCAUCUUUGCAUUUAGUUUUGUAACUGCAAGAAUUGGAACUGGAGCAACAAUUGCCCGAGGAUGUUCUUAUAAAAAAAUUAGAUCCCCCAAGUAAGGGACUAUGUUUUCAGUAUCAACGCUAAGUAAAAUGUACUCCAAAGCUGAAUGCAGAGACCAUAGAGUAGGUAGCACACAGUGAUUGGCCUAACAAAAUCUCAUUACAACAUAAAAGUAGCUUUUAUGCUACUAUCAGAUGCCUUUGUUGGUGCAUAUGCAUGUAGAGUUCCAGAAAUAGAAGUACUAAAAGAACAUGCAUGUUGCAUACAUUGUGUUUACUGUGUUGAACUGAUGCCUUUAGCAGUCCCUCCCUCUCCUUGCUUUCUUGGUUUAUGUUCCUUUUGCCUUCUCCGUUUGCCUUUCCUGAUACUGUUUUUAUUUUUCAUGUACUAUGUUGUUUGUUGGUAUUCUGAUUAACAUUUUUGCGUGUUCCUUCAAUGUAAUAGCUUUCAGUGAGGAACUGCUUCAUCAGAGGAUCGGUGGUGAGAUACGUCCAGUUACCUCCCGAGGGAGUUGACAUUGAGCUGCUUCAUGAUGCUACGAGGAGAGAAGCUCGGGGUGGCUAAAAUUUGGACUUCGAAAAUAGAUGUAUCUUUAAAAGAUUUUAUGUGGGUAAAUCAGCAUAUACUGAUUUCUUUUCUCAUAAGGAGAGAAGCUCGGGGUGGCUAGAAUCUGGACUUUGAAAACAGAUGUAUCUUUAAAAGAUUUUGUGUGGGUAAAUCAGCAUAUACUGAUUUCUUUUCUCCAUUUUCAAUGUAUUUCUAGAUGCUAUUAUUGCUAUUAUAUGCAGUGCUUUUAUUUCUUCCUUUUCCUCCUCUUUCUCCAUCACUAUCAUUGAGUGACUAUUAUGAUUGCUGCAAUUGUGUGGUGAAAGCCGUGGAUAUGAAAUUCUGCCAAGAAAAAUAAUUGGUACUGGUUUUACGGCUAAGACAGACAAAAGAUGUCAGCCAUUAGUAAUCUAUGAGGCGCUAUCCCAAAAAUAUGUUGCAGCUGAAACCUGAA